rnacentral:rRNA from 1 species
AUACGUAGGUGGCGAGCGUUGUCCGGAAUUACUGGGCGUAAAGGGUGCGUAGGCGGAUAAUCAAGUCAGAUGUGAAAGUCCAUGGCUCAACUGUGGGAGUGCAUUUGAGACUGAAGAUCUAGAGUGCAGGAGAGGGAAGCGGAAUUCCUAGUGUAGCGGUGAAAUGCGUAGAUAUUAGGAAGAACACCAGUGGCGAAGGCGGCUUUCUGGACUGUAACUGACGCUGAAGCACGAUAGCGUGGGGAGCAAACAGGAGUAGAUACCCUGGUAGUCCACGCUGUAAACGAUGAGUACUAGGUGUAGGGGACGAUAGUCUUCUGUGCCGGAGCAAACGCAAUAAAUACUCCGCCUGGGGAGUACGGUCACAAGACUAAA